rnacentral:rRNA from 1 species
AACGAACGCUGGCGGCAGGCUUAACACAUGCAAGUCGAACGCACCUUUCGGGGUGAGUGGCAGACGGGUGAGUAACGCGUGGGAACGUGCCCUUCAGUUCGGAAUAACCCAGGGAAACUUGGGCUAAUACCGGAUACGUGCGAGAGCAGAAAGAUUUAUCGCUGAAGGAUCGGCCCGCGUCUGAUUAGCUAGUUGGUGAGGUAAUGGCUCACCAAGGCGACGAUCAGUAGCUGGUCUGAGAGGAUGAUCAGCCACAUUGGGACUGAGACACGGCCCAAACUCCUACGGGAGGCAGCAGUGGGGAAUAUUGGACAAUGGGUGCAAGCCUGAUCCAGCCAUGCCGCGUGAGUGAUGAAGGCCUUAGGGUUGUAAAGCUCUUUCGUCCGGGACGAUAAUGACGGUACCGGAAGAAGAAGCCCCGGCUAACUUCGUGCCAGCCGCCGCCGUAAUAC